rnacentral:rRNA from 1 species
CCUACGGGAUGCAGCAGUGGGGAAUAUUGCACAAUGGGGGCAACCCUUAUGCAGCGACGCCGCGUGAGCGAUGAAGUAUUUCGGUAUGUAAAGCUCUAUCAGCAGGGACGAAAAUGACGGUACCUGUCUAAGAAGCCCCGGCUAUCUACGUGCCAGCAGCCGCGGUAAUACGUAGGGGGCAAGCGUUAUCCGGAUUUACUGGGUGUAUAGGGAGCGUAGACGGUCCUGCAAGCCAGAUGUGAAAGCUCGGGGCUCAACCCCGGGACUGCAUUUGGAACUGUAAGGCUAGAGUGUCGGAGAGGCAGGCGGAAUUCCUAGUGUAGCGGUGAAAUGCGUAGAUAUUAGGAGGAACACCAGUGGCGAAGGCGGCCUGCUGGACGAUGACUGACGUUGAGGCUCGAAAGCGUGGGGAGCAAACAGGAUUAGAUACCCCAGUAGUC